UACGGGGGGUGCGAGCGUUGUCCGGAAUCACUGGGCGUAAAGGGUGCGUAGGCGGCUCGUUAGGUAGGGUGUGAAAGCCCCCGGCUCAACCGGGGAAUUGCGCCCUAAACCGGCGGGCUGGAGUGAGAUAGGGGUGUGUGGAACUUCCAGUGGAGCGGUGAAAUGUGUUGAUAUUGGAAGGAACGCCGGUGGCGAAAGCGACACACUGGGUCUCAACUGACGCUGAGGCACGAAAGCCAGGGGAGCAAACGGG
rnacentral:rRNA from 1 species